rnacentral:lncRNA from 10 species
UCUAAAGCUCUUGCAAAACAGUGACUGCUCCAGGUUGUUGGGGUGGAUGGUCUCAACAGAUAACCUUGGGGAUGGGACCUAUUCUUACUAUCCAUCGACUGAUUUCGUCCAUCGCUACCCAUCUCCCGCCCAUCUGUAACCAUCUCUCUUGCUCUGAAAAUAAUACGUACUUUCAAAAUACUCCAUAAGAAACAGAGUGGAUUUUUCCAGUCCAG